rnacentral:tRNA from 1 species
GUGGGUGCAGCUCAGUGGUAAAGCACUUGCCACAAAUGCAUGAGGCCCUGGGUUUGAUUCCCAGAACCACA